rnacentral:rRNA from 1 species
CCUGGUUGAUCCUGCCAGUAGUAUAUGCUUGUCUCAAAGAUUAAGCCAUGCACAUGUAAGUACACACACCCAGUACAGUGAAACUGCAAAUAGCUCAUUAAAUCAGUUAAAGUUCCUUUGAUUGCACCAUCUGCUACUUAGAUAACUGUGGUAACUCUAGAGCCAAUACAUGCCGAUGAGCGCUGACCUCUUGCGAUGCGUGCAUUUAUCAGCCAAGACCAAUCUGGGCACAGCCAGCCGCUUUGGUUACUCUAGAUAACCUUGGGUCAAUCGCACGUCCCUGUGAUGGCGACAAUGCUUUCGGAUGACUGCCCUAUCAACUUUUGUUGGCACUUUCUGUACCUGCCAUGGUGACCAUGGGUAACAGGGAAUCAUGGUUUGAUUCCAGAGAGAGAGUCUGAGAAUGGCUACCACAUCCAAGUAAGGCAGCAUGUGCACAAAUUACCCAAUCCCGACACUGGGAGUUAGUGACGAAAAAUAACAAUACAGGAAUACAGGAUACAUUGUGGGAAAGUCUGGUGCCAGCAGCCUGGUAAUUCCAGCUCCAAUAGCGCAGAUUAAAGUUGCUGCAAUUAAAAAGCUUGUAGUUGGAUCUUGGGAUCAAGCUGGCGGUCUGGCGCAAAUCGAACUACCGGCAGUCCAGCGCCUGCCUCUCGUCGCCCCCUUGAUGUUCUUGACUGACUGUCCUGGGGGUCUGAAGCGUUUACUUUGAAAAAAAUUAGAGUGUUCAGAGCAGGCCGGUCCCCUGAAAACUUCUGCUAGGAAUAAUGGAAUAUGACUUUGGUUCUAUUUUGUUGGUUUUCGAAGCUGGGGACAUAAUUAAGAUGGAUGGUCAGGGGCAUUCCUAUUUUGCCGCUAGAGGAGCAAUUCUUGGACUGGCGCAAGAUGAACCAAAGUAAAAACAUUUGCAAAGAAUGUUUUCAUUAACAAGAUCGCAAGUUGGAGUUUCAAAGAUGAUCAGAUACUUUCGUAGUUCUGACCAUAAACGAUGCAAACUAGCGAUCCGACAGCGUUAUUCCCAUUACCCACUGAGCAGCUUCCAGGAAACCAAAGUCUUUGGGUUAUGGGGGCAGUAUGGUUGCAAAGCUGAAACCUAAAGGAAUUGAUGGAAGGGCACCACCAGGAGUGAAGCCUGCAGCUUAAUUUGACUCAACAAGGGAAACCUCACCCGGGCCGGACAGGGAAAGGAUUGACAGAUUGAUAGCUCUUUCUCGAUUCUGUGGGUAUUGGUGCAUGGCCGUUCUCAGUUGGUGGAGCAAUUUGUCUGGUUAAUGUCAAUAAUGAAUGAGAGUAGUCCCUGCUAACUAGUUACGUGACCCCCAACGGUCGGCGUUCAACUGCAUAGAGUGACAAGUGAUGUUCAGCAACACGAGAUUGAGCAAUAACAGGUCUGUGAUGCCCUAAGAUUUCUGUGGCUGAACCUGUGCUACACUGAACGGAUCAGCAUGUGAGUACUCUUUGCCGACAGGUGCGGGUAACCCUCUGAACCCCGUUUGAGAUAGGGAUUGGGGAUCGCAAUUAUUUCCUAUGAAUGAGGAAAUCCCAGUAUGUGUGGGUCAUAAACUCACAUUGAUGAAGUCCCUGCCCUUUGUACACACCGCCCGUAGCUACUACCGAUUGGAUGGUUUAUGAGGUCCUCGGAUCGGCCCGCCGGGGUUGGCAAUAGCUCUGGCAGAGCCCAGAGAAGAUUGACUAUUUAGAGGAAGUAAACGUUGUAACACGGUUUCCGUAGGAUAUACAGUGGAUA